ACCAUUUAAUUGUCUAUAAGCGGGAUUAACUCCCAUUGAAAACCUGUAUGACAGAGGUUGUAUUUUCUGAUUUCACAAUUUCUAAACACUUUUUCAGGAGGCAUAAAGUUCAUAUUAUCUUCAGGUCGUUGCUCUCUCAGCAAAAAGCGAAGGUAGACGCUAUGAGUUACAACUACAAUAUUUUUCUCAUGGAGACUAGCUAAAUGUUUCAACGGUUUUUGAGCACGACAAUAAUUCUCAUCAUAAGUAGUUCCGUAUAAUCCUCGUCUCAGUGGAUAUAUAUCAUCGUAGCAAGAACUGAAAUCAUAAUCAGGGAAAAGCUUUUCCGUGCUACUUAAAUCCAUUGCACAGUCGCAAGGCCAAUUUCCAGAUUCUUCAAAAAGUGGAGAUAUUUUUAUAGGCACUGGUAGCUCUUUGUGAAUGUAACUUUUAAACGAAAUUUCCAUCGUUUGCAACGUACGCCUCAAGGGAGAGCAUACUAUUACAUCAAUUGGAAUUGGAUUGUCAACCAACCAAUUAUGAAGGGCUUCCCAUUGUUUUAUACCAACUUGGUUAAUUCUGGGUCCCGAAUACGGUGAUUUCCUGGAGGCCCAACGUUGUGUUCAGCUUGUGCAUGUCUAAC